CAAUAGCGUGUAUUUAAGUUGUUGCAGUUAAAAAGCUCGUAGUUGGAUUUCGGGUGGGUACCGCCGGUCUCCCAUUGGGUAUGUACUGGCGUGGCCCGCCUUGCUGUCGGGGACGGUCUCCUGGGCUUAAUUGCUCGGGAAUCGGAGUCGACGAUGUUACUUUGAGUAAAUUAGAGUGUUCAAAGCAAGCCUACGCUCUGAAUAUAAUAGCAUGGGAUAACACGACAGGACUCUGGCCUAUCGUGUUGGUCUGUAGGACCGGAGUAAUGAUUAAGAGGGACAGUCGGGGGCAUUCGUAUUCCGUUGUCAGAGGUGAAAUUCUUGGAUUUACGGAAGACGAACAUCUGCGAAAGCAUUUGCCAAGGAUGUUUUCAUUGA
rnacentral:rRNA from 1 species